UUACCCACUCCCGGCACGGGGAGGUAGUGACGAAAAAUAACAAUACGGGACUCUUUUGAGACCCCGUAAUUGGAAUGAGUACACUCUAAAUCCUUUAACGAGGAUCUAUUGGAGGGCAAGUCUGGUGCCAGCAGCCGCGGUAAUUCCAGCUCCAAUAGCGUAUAUUAAAGUUGUUGCGGUUAAAAAGCUCGUAGUUGGAUCUCAGUUCCAGACGGGCGGUCCUCCUAACGGUGGUUACUGCCUGGCCUGAACAGCCAGCCGGUUUCCCUAGAUGAUCUUCACCGGUUGUCUUGGGUGACCGGCACGUUUACUUUGAAAAAAUUAGAGUGCUCAAAGCAGGCGUGUAGCCUGAAUAAUGGUGCAUGGAAUAAUGGAAUAGGACUUCGUUUCUAUUUUGUUGGUUUUCGGAACACGAGGUAAUGAUUAAGAGGGACAGACGGGGGCAUUCGUAUUGCGACGCUAGAGGUGAAAUUCUUGGACCGUCGCAAGACGAACUA
rnacentral:rRNA from 1 species